rnacentral:rRNA from 1 species
AUGAACGCUAGCGGCAGGCCUAACACAUGCAAGUCGAGGGGUAACAUAGUUUGCUUGCAAACUGAUGACGACCGGCGCACGGGUGCGGAACGCGUAUGGAACCUGCCCCUGUCAGGGGAAUAGCCCAGGGAAACUUGGAUUAAUGCCCCAUGGUAUCGUUUUAUCGCAUGAUAUUACGAUUAAAGAUUUAUCGGACAGGGAUGGCCAUGCGUACCAUUAGUUAGUUGGUGAGGUAACGGCUUACCAAGGCAGCGAUGGUUAGGGGCCCUGAGAGGGGGAUCCCCCACACUGGUACUGAGACACGGACCAGACUCCUACGGGAGGCAGCAGUGAGGAAUAUUGGACAAUGGGCGGGAGCCUGAUCCAGCCAUGCCGCGUGCAGGAUGACGGCCCUAUGGGUUGUAAACUGCUUUUAUACGGGAAGAAACGCACCUACGUGUAGGUGUCUGACGGUACCGUAAGAAUAAGGACCGGCUAACUCCGUGCCAGCAGCCGCGGUAAUACGGAGGGUCCGAGCGUUAUCCGGAAUCAUUGGGUUUAAAGGGUCCGUAGGCGGGCCUGUAAGUCAGGGGUGAAAGUUUGUGGCUCAACCAUAAAAUUGCCUUUGAUACUGCAGGUCUUGAGUCAUGGUGGGGUUGCCGGAACAUGUGGUGUAGCGGUGAAAUGCAUAGAUAUCACAUAGAACACCGAUCGCGAAGGCAGGUGACCAACCAUGUACUGACGCUGAUGGACGAAAGCGUGGGUAGCGAACGGGAUUAGAUACCCCGGUAGUCCACGCCGUAAACGAUGGAUACUAGCUGUGGGGACUUCGGUCUCCGUGGCCAAGCGAAAGU